UAUGUUGCAUCCAUGUAUAGUCUGGAGAUUCCCAGUACAUCCUGGAACAGAGGACUCGGCACCACACUGUGGGCCGGUUUGAUCCGGACAGCCAGCAGAGCUGGCUUCAGAAGAGAUCGGAGGGAAGGAAACUCCACUGCCGUGCUGCUGUUUUCCCUUCAUAGCAGCACCAGGAUGCUGGGGUGGCUCAGAACAACAGUGAGCCCUCUAACCUGAGACUCUGGGCUGAGGAUGGAAGGAAAGGCUGCCUCAGCGCGGCAGCGGUAGGGGGUCUGUUUGGAUGUGUCUGCAGAGGGAGCAGGCUGCAGUUAAAGAGCAAGGGUUGGGACAAACAAACAUGAACCUUUGCACUAUUUGACUUUCUGUUAUUACUGCAACUGAUGAGGAAAGGAUAAAAAUCACAUGCAAAUGCUUUUUAAUUAAGGUGUGACGAUAAACAUUAAAGAAAGUAUAUUGAGAGCAGGUUCACUGAGAAACCAUGUUUUACUUUUUAUUUUUGAAUACGAUCAGUGACUCUGAGUGUUUCAUUAAUGCUGAACAUGAAAAAAGUCCCCUACACCUGUCUCCUGCAUUAGCUUCUAGACGGUGAAACUCUAGGAUUAGAAAAUCCUGACAGAUCUACGUCACACUGUCACUAACAUUCAUGGACUCACCCGUCUAGACUCACGACGGGGAAGGUUGUUGUUGGUUUAGCGUCAUGAAACAGCAGAGAACGUCUCUGCUUGUGAACACCAACCCGUUAGCAUUAGCAACUCCACCACACAGCAGAACUCCUUCAGGCUUGUGUUAUUUGUGCAGAUAAAAGAUCAACGUUGCAGAGAAACAGAGUGAAUAGUAGAGUUGUGUUGCUGUUAGCCAAUCAGAGGAGAUAUAUUAGGAUUUAAGACUCCAAAUCCUCUUGUCUGAAAGUACUUUCACCUCUGGCUGAACUCUCCGUCCUCAAACAGGUGCACUGGAGCUUUGUUUCCCCAGAAUACGACCUAAAAGGUAUUGAUUCUUACUAAAGACCACUGCAAAUGUAUUAAACAUAUGAGUUAAGUUGACCUUUAAUACCUUGUUGCAUUUUCUAGGACUGAUUAGCUGUAGUUAACUGAACCAGAUUUGUUGUUUUAAAAGUACAUUUAGGAGGAAUCAACCAAUCAUUUUCUCCCGUUUAUCGGUCGUGGGGCCUAGGAUGGAAGCCCAACAUGCACUCCUAUGUUAUGAAGUCACUUUUAGCUAUUAUGACAUUAAAGUUCGACAAACAGUAAGUUUGACCUAUUGUGUGUUUUUGUAAUACUAAUAUUCUGUGGUGGCCAUAUUGAAUUGGCAUGAAUCCAAAAGGUGUUAAUAAAAUCUGUCCAAUAGUUUGAGACGUUGCGAGGCUAUUUAAGGUUACUGACCAAUUUUGGACAAUAGACGAGUACACUAGGGGCUGCACGACUUCAUUUUUUUAAAAGUCGACAGUCAAGUAAUGAAAAUCGAGUCGAGUCGUUGAUUCAAUUCAAUUCAAUUUUAUUUAUAUAGCGCCAAAUCACGACAAGAGUCAUC
rnacentral:lncRNA from 1 species